UACGUAGGGGGCAAGCGUUGUCCGGAUUUAUUGGGCGUAAAGAGCGUGUAGGCGGUCCGGUAAGUCCGCUGUGAAAGUCGGGGGCUCAACCCUCGAAUGCCGGUGGAUACUGUCGGGCUAGAGUGCGGAAGAGGCGAGUGGAAUUCCGGGUGUAGCGGUUGGAAUGCGUAGAGAUCCGGAAGAACACCGGUGGCGAAGGCGGUCUGCUGGGGCAGUUGCUGACACUGAGGCGCGACAGCGUGGGGGAGCAAAACAGG
rnacentral:rRNA from 1 species